rfam:Callithrix jacchus chromosome 22, whole genome shotgun sequence
UCUCAGGCCGUGACCGUCUACAGGGAAGCGCUUUCUGUUGUCAGAAAGAAAAGAAAGUGCAUCCUUGUAGUGGGUCACUGUUUGAGA